rnacentral:tRNA from 1 species
CGGGGCAUAGCGCAGUUUGGUAGCGCGCACGGUUCGGGUCCGUGAGGUCUGCGGUUCAAAUCCGCAUGCCCCGA